UCCAGACUCCUACGGGAGGCAGCAGUGGGGGAUAUUGCACAAUGGGGGAAACCCUGAUGCAGCGACGCCGCGUGGGUGAAGAAGUAUUUCGGUAUGUAAAGCCCUAUCAGCAGGGAAGAAAGAAGACGGUACCUGACUAAGAAGCCCCGGCUAACUACGUGCCAGCAGCCGCGGUAAUACGUAGGGGGCGAGCGUUAUCCGGAUUCACUGGGUGUAAAGGGAGCGUAGACGGCCGUGCAAGCCAGGAGUGAAAGCCCGGGGCCCAACCCCGGGACUGCUCUUGGAACUGUGCGGCUGGAGUGCGGGAGGGGCAGGCGGAAUUCCUUGUGUAGCGGUGAAAUGCGUAGAUAUAAGGAAGAACACCAGUGGCGAAGGCGGAUUACUGGACGAUAACUGACGGUGAGGCGCGAAAGCGUGGGGAGCAAACAGGAUUAGAUACCCCCGUA
rnacentral:rRNA from 1 species